ACCUGUAUGCGUUCUGCAGUGUAAACGGGCAAACGACCUGAAAGUGACCCGCAUGCGCAGUAGAGGGCGCAAUGACUAUAUCUGUGAUGUGAAGUGAAUCGGGAAAAAAAAUCAUUUAUUCUUCAAAUUCACAUUGUUUAGUCAAAAAGUUGUUUCUCCAGUCAUUAAUUAUGUUAUACUGCUGUUGAUGGUUUGUCGUAACCAUAGCAACCAAGUGACACCUCGUCCCCUUUUUCUGUUGCCGUCUUUUACUGCGGUAUGUAUUAUGGUCAGAUCUGUGAUGUAUUUAUAUGUAUUGUAGUUAUAAAAUGUAUUUUAAGCAAAUGCAUUUAUAUACCGGGUGUAAUGGACAAAUAUUGCGAUGUUUUGUAUUUUUUAACCUAUAAUGUGUAUUUUAAAUUUGACAUUUUACAAAUUUUAACUGCUUAUCGGGAACCAUGUAUUUUAUUUAAUGUGAAGGGGCAGAAGCUGGUGAAGUGAUGUUAACCACCAACUUGAUUUCCUCUCUUUUUAGAAUAAAUAUGUUGAACCGUUGUAAACAACGUAAGGUCGACCUGAGACGAACAUUAAACAUGGAAAUGGAUGGAAACAUGGAUGGAAACAUGGAUGGAAAUGGAACAUAUUUAGCGAUCUUCCAGUUGUUGUCCAACCGCAGGCAUCUUAAUAACAUACUCCUCUUAAGAAGAUCGAAAAGAAAGAGAGCCAGGAGUUUGGCCAUGGCAUUUUGUGGGGCAGUGGCAGCAACAUCGGUGCAGCGUAAUGUGUGGGCUCGGAGUUGAAGUCAGGAGUGGUGGGAAACAGAAGUAAUUGGCUUUGAUGACAUCAAUUUCAUCCAAAAUUUUAGAGUGUCAAGAGAAACAUUUAUGUACAUAUGUGAGCGUCUAUCUUUGACACUCACAUGUGCAGCCACACAUCUUCGGCAACCCAUACCAGUGGGCAAAAGGGUUGCCGUCGGACUGUAUUGGCUUGCAACAGGUGCGUGCUAUCGCACUAUAAGCAACCUCUUCGGUAUUGCGAGGUCCACCGUCUGUUCCAUAGUCCACAAGUUCUGCAAAGCAGUUCGUCAUGUACUCAUGCCGGAGUACAUUAAAAUGCCCCACGGAGCUGCUCUGCAGGAGGUCAUCGCAGGUUUCAAAGAGAGAUGGGGAUUCCUGCAGUGCGGAGGAGCGAUCGAUGGCACCCAUAUCCCCAUAGUUGCUCCAGAGAAGAAUCCCAGUGAUUAUUUCAACCGCAAGGGAUGGCACUCAGUCAUUCUACAGGGAAUAGUGGAUCAUCGUCUUUGCUUUACCAACAUUUAUAGUGGGUGGCCAGGAAGCGUCCAUGAUGCCAGGGUCCUCAAAAAUUCACAUGUUUAUGCACUGGCAGAGAAAGGGGAUCUUUUUCCACCAAAUACUGAAGAGAUAAUGGGUGUUCGAGUGCCUAUAAUGCUGCUAGGUGACCCAGGUGACC